rnacentral:rRNA from 1 species
AACGAACGCUGGCGGCAUGCCUAACACAUGCAAGUCGAACGAGACCUUCGGGUCUAGUGGCGCACGGGUGCGUAACGCGUGGGAACCUGUCCUUAGGAUCGGAAUAACUCCCCGAAAGGAGUGCUAAUACCGGCUGAUUUCUUCCGCCCAAAGAUUUAUCGCCGUUGGAUGGGCCCGCGUGGGAUUAGCUUGUUGGUAGGGUAAAAGCCUACCAAGGCGACGAUCCAUAGCUGGUCUGAGAGGAUGAUCAGCCACACUGGGACUGAGACACGGCCCAGACUCCUACGGGAGGCAGCAGUGGGGAAUAUUGGACAAUGGGCGAAAGCAUGAUCCAGCAAUGCCGCGUGAGUGAUGAAGGCCUGAGGGUUGUAAAGCUCUCUUACCCGGGAUGAUAAUGACAGUACCGGGAGAAUAAGCACCGGCUAACUCCGUG